CCUACGGGAGGCAGCAGUGAGGAAUAUUGGUCAAUGGACGCAAGUCUGAACCAGCCAUGCCGCGUGCGGGAAGAAGGCUCUAUGAGUUGUAAACUGCUUUUGUAGGAGGGAAAACGAAGAUACGUGUAUCUGUCUGAAAGUAUCGUACGAAUAAGGAACGGCUAACUCAGUGCCAGCAGCCGCGGUAAUACGGAGGAUUCAAGCGUUAUCCGGAUUUAUUGGGUUUAAGGGGUGCGUAGGCGGUCGGGUAAGUUAGAGGUGAAAUCCCGAGGCUCAACUUCGGAAUUGCCUUAGAUACUGUUCGGCUAGAGAGCAGUUGCGGUAGGCGGAAUGUAUGGUGUAGCGGUGAAAUGCUUAGAGAUCAUACAGAACACCGAUUGCGAAGGCAGCUUACCAAGCUACUUCUGACGUUGAGGCACGAAAGCGUGGGGAGCAAACAGGAUUAGAUACCCGUGUAGUC
rnacentral:rRNA from 1 species